CAACCGUUAAAUAGAACUAUAAUAGAACAAUAAUUAAAUAGAACUUAUUAUGAUGUAUGGAAAAAGGUUAUGAAAAAGUAUUUUUGCAUAAAUUUACAAACUACAAAAACUCAAUUUUAAGGAUUGGUGGUGGGGUAACUCGAAAAAUAUGAAUUUUUUAAUACUUAUCUAUACGCAGCUUUGUAGACAUAAAAAAAAGAUGCAACUUUUAACUUUAAACUUUUUUUCGAUAUCUCUCACCGUUCGGCAGUUAUUUCGCAAAAAAAAGUCUACAUUUUUUUCAAGCGGUGAUUCACCCCCUCAAACCUUAAUUUUGCACAAACAAAAAAUAGUUUUGUGUUACGGAUGAACUACUCUACUUGCACACAAAGUUUCAGAAUUUUCUGAAUUUCCGGAUUGCCUACCUUCCCUUGUGAGCCAAGUGCAAUUAGAUCAUCUGAAUGUAAUAAUCCGGAAUGUAUAACGUUAUUACCAACGAAUGUUGCAUAUAUUUUGAAGUAAAUAUCAGAACGAUCAAUACCAAAGGUAUUCAAGCAUUGCAAGAUGCCGUCUUAUUCAAUGGACAUUAUUAUAAUGUUAAAUGCCAACAAAAAAAUAGCCCAGAAACAGUCAUUGAAACGAUUCGUUCACAUUUCCACAUCUUUAUUGAUUUGGAUACGAGGACACAUCGCAAGAAAACACAUGGCGUCAAAUGCCAGUUAGCAGAUGUUCCAGUUACACUGAAUUUUGGAAAACAGUACUGAUAUGUUUACUUGAUAGGUGUCAUCGAACACAUUCCUGGUCAUUUUAUUGACUACUGUCAAAAACCUUCAGGGCGAUGGCUGAAAUGUGAUGAUAUGCAAUUAAUUGUCGAAGGAUGUGACGAGACAACAGUAAUUACACCGAUUGGGGCUAUUUAUAUUGCGCUAUGAAUCUGAUGUGCAGGUCUGUCAUUAUAAAAUAUAAACUUAUAAAUAUAAAAUAUAGUACAGUUUUGUCAUUAAAAUAUAUAGUUAUGAAUAUAAAAUAUAUAAAUAUCUA